UGAUACAUCGGCUAUCUCGGAUUCCUCCGUAAGAUAGGCCUCGUGGCUAACGGUCGCCAUAUUGCCUUGUAUUACUACUUUACUACCCAAAAGGUUGUCAGUCUAUUGUUAUGAGGCUAUAUACAUGCGCGUUGAACUAGCGCCAAACUUUUUACCGAAACUUUGAUAUUAAGAGCACUAUUAACGUUCAUUUGUGUUGCAAUUUGACCUAUUAUCCAAGUGAUUUACUUUUCCAUUAUUAUUUAAUCACCCUAUCAACCAAUUUUUAAGAUGAAAUUACGGUGUUUACAAAACCAACCAAACCGAAAGUGAAACUGGAUGCAUUUCGUUUCGCGAUGUAAACAUUAAAUAUUUGUUCAGUUUGAGGAAGCGAAUCGAUAAUAGACGUUGGAAUAUGUAUGCAAUACAGACUAUCAUUGCCGAUUGUAGUACUGGCUAAAAAAUACCUUUUAUGACAGGUAUACUGGAUUAUGAAAGACUGAUAAACAUAAAAUUGACAACUCAUCUCCCCAACGAUACUUUGUGUGGCUCAUUCUCAGAACAAACCCAUAGUCAGUGAGAAAACUACAGUGUAAAAAGACCACUUGAUUGUGACAAUUAUGGCUGACCAAGCAAAUGUUAUCAUUUAAAAUAAAGAAAACUUCCAGUUCAAUAUACAUUUUAUACCAAUUAUGACAUUGGCCAACACAGAAAACAAUUAUAAGGUUGAUUUUCCCAAAAUUGACUGUUACAAUUGGAUACUGUUUUAAGCUUCACUCUACUUUGUCUGAAAAUAAAAGUCCUAAAUGAUGUAAUAGAAACAUACAUAUUUAAUUUUUAGUUUUACAAGGAUAUAUAUAUACAUACAUAUAUAUUAUAAUAUCUUUUUAUCAAUGGUCAAUCAAUUUAAGUUUAACUAAUAUAUACAUACACAUUUUAUACAUGUGUAUGCUUUGAUUUUUUUCUAUUGAAGCCAAAUUAAUAUCCCAUUAGAUAGAUAGAUAAUAUCACAGCAGUAUUCCUAUUUUGUCUGCAAGUACUGCAGAAAUCAUGGAUUAUUAUUUUACUGAGUCAGUCUUAAUCUUUAUAUUAUAACUGUUAAAACAGAUUAAGAUGUGCAUUUAUACAACUGAGGAUGCAUCAAGAUUAAAAAAUGGUACAUGUAUAAAUUAAUAAACAAUCAAUAACAAUCAGAAACUGUGCAUUUUUUUCAGUAUUGUGUGAAAGGAUUUGAAGUAAUGAUGUGUUUUUGAAAUAUGAUUUAUGUGAAUUUGAAUAAAUAUAUAAAAUUUA